rnacentral:rRNA from 1 species
GACGAACGCUGGCGGCGUGCUUAACACAUGCAAGUCGAACGGCAAGGCCCUUCGGGGUACACGAGUGGCGAACGGGUGAGUAACACGUGGGUGAUCUGCCCUGCACUUCGGGAUAAGCCUGGGAAACUGGGUCUAAUACCGGAUAGGACCACUGCCUGCAUGGGUGGUGGUGGAAAGCUUUUGCGGUGUGGGAUGGGCCCGCGGCCGAUCAGCUUGUUGGUGGGGUGAUGGCAUCCCAAGGCGACGACGGGUAGCCGGCCUGAGAGGGUGACCGGCCACACUGGGACUGGGAUACGGCCCAGACUCCUACGGGGGGCAGCAGUGGGGAAUAUUGCACAAUGGGCGCAAGCCUGAUGCAGCGACGCCGCGUGAGGGAUGACGGCCUUCGGGUUGUAAACCUCUUUCAGCACCGACGAAGCGCAAGUGACGGUAGGUGCAGAAGAAGGACCGGCCAACUACGUGCCAGCCGCCGCAGUAA